UGAGGAAUUUUGCGCAAUGGGGGAAACCCUGACGCAGCAACGCCGCGUGAGUGAUGAAGGCUCUUGGGUCGUAAAACUCUGUCAGUAGGGAAGAAGUUGAUUAUAGUUAAUACCUGUAGUCAUUGACGGUACCUACAAAGGAAGCACCGGCUAACUCCGUGCCAGCAGCCGCGGUAAUACGGGGGGUGCAAGCGUUAUUCGGAAUUAUUGGGCGUAAAGCGAGUGCAGGCGGUUUGUAAAGUCAGAUGUGAAAGCCCGGGGCUCAACCCCGGAAGUGCAUUUGAAACUUGCAGACUUGAGUAUGGGAGAGGAAAGUGGAAUUCCUGGUGUAGAGGUGAAAUUCGUAGAUAUCAGGAGGAACACCAGUGGCGAAGGCGACUUUCUGGACCAAUACUGACGCUCAGACUCGAAGGCGUGGGGAGCAAACA
rnacentral:rRNA from 1 species